CCUGCUGUGCCUCUUCCUUCUGACAGGAACUGCCUGCAGAGCAAGUUUGAAUGAUGCCUGAGUGGACAAACACAACUUAUAAGUUCCUGGCUCUCUCAGCUCCUCUGCAGAGGGUUUCCCUAAGAAGGUGGACCUAGCAGGGUCACUGGGGGACGGGGAGCUGUGCCUCACGGCCUUCACUUCGUCGGAGAAACCCUCCCGCAGAGUUGUUCAGAAACUUGUGUGUUGUCCUUGUGAGCCUCCACCAUUUACUGAUGGGUGCAGCCUGGACUGUCUAGAGACAGACCAGACCAGCUGCACAACACAGACACUUCAAACCUCACCUGAGGACAAAAACUACAAGAACAAAAAAAAAGAAAGAAAGAAAACGUAGCUUAGAACCAUGCAGCGUUACAGGAGACGGCAGCACUGCAGAGGUGAUCCUGUGUGAGUCGUUUUUCUGUUAGUGAAAAAGAGAAAAAAAACAAGAAAACUUCCCUUAGAAAUCUGUAGGGUUGUUUCCUCUGAGACAUGUUGGAAUCUGUAAACAGUUACUCCGAAAAGGUUCCAGGUGUUUCAAUUCUGCAAACAUAAAUGCUGCGAUUAACGAAGUAAAAGUCAUUGCUUUUCACCCCUAUUUAUGGAUUUUUACGGAUCAAAGGAUUAAAGCAUCAAAGGACCAAAUUUGUCGUAAGAUUCAAAAUAUAUGUGACGUCAACAUCCGUAAGCCAAUUAAGUUGUCACAUGACAUUUGUGGAUCCUGGUAUUUUUUUUUACUUGGAGAAUUGACUAUGUGCACGUUAGCAUAUGCUAGUUCCGGUGCGGAAAAUCCUGUGUGGAGCUUUGUUUCCGGUGUCCUAUUCGCGCCCUGUUUAAUGUCCAAAAGAAGUUAACCAAAUGAAUGAAUUAAGCGUCGAUUUACAUUUCUAUAGAUGUCUUGGUCAUUUACCCAAUAUAUCUGUAAAUGAUGUUCACGGACUUGUCGAUAUUUUGCCCCCACGCCUCAGAGCAAAGGAGAAAAGGGAUUCAAAUGUUAUAUUUCUCAGCUGUCCCUCGUUUAUUGCGGGUGUUAUGUUCUAAAAAUAACCAGCGAUGGGUGAAAUCAAGUAGCCAAUUUUAUUUUUUUGAUGCAGGGACAUCGUGGACAUCCAGUACUGCACUUUUUAAUUUAGAAGCAACCAAGAAAAGGGCAGAGCAAAAAAAGACAGGUGGUGGUCCUGCACCCCCUCGUCACAUCCCGGCAGAGGAGCUGGCCCUAUAGGGUUGAAUGCCACCAGACCGUUGUUGAGGACAUCCCUGGGGGCAGCUCUUCCUUAGACGAGCAGCCGGGGUGCAGUAGCAGCAGCACCUUCAUAACUGGUGUGUCGGUGUGUCUGCGUUACAUGACUGACACUGUGCAGCCAAACUUCCCACUCUUCACUCUCAGUCCAGGCAUAUCCCCUCUGAGUCUGCAGGGUAGCUUUGACACGUUCAUGCUGUCCUAUUAUGAUUCCUUCAGUGUGAACCUGCAGCCCAUUGUGCACUUAUGGCCGGACAUUAAGCAGGACAUCUGGACCAGUGUCUGCCUCACUGUGGACACCAGUAAGAGUGUGGUUCAGAUGUUCAGUGGCGGGUAUAUGAGCCCCAGGAAGGUAAUGCCUUAUCAGGUGAGAAUGGCGACAAAGUUAGAAUCAGCAUGUUAAAAACUGUGUAGAUGUAGAGACAGAAAGACAAAUUUACUAAACAGAGCAAAGCAGUGUGCGAUUUUUACUUGAAAUGUCUCCAAUAAGCGGAAUAGACACCUUUCCGAGGAAGUUCAUUUUCCUCACUUGUAUCCAUGAUUUCAUUCUCUCACAGCUCAUGGUCACAAGGAAAAAUAGAUCCGCUGAUAAACUUCGAGCUUUGCCUUAAUAUUCAGCCAUCUCUUAAUCACAUUACAGUCUGUCUCUCAAGAAACAAGACCCUGAGAUAGCUGGACUCCACCAGCUGGAACAGUAACUCCUUUCCAC
ensembl:lncRNA